GGCUGGGUAGCUCAGGCGGUUAGAGCGUGGGAUUCAUAACCCCAAGGUCGCGAGUUCAACUCUCGCCCCAGCUACCA
rnacentral:tRNA from 1 species